rfam:Aedes albopictus isolate Foshan contig94852, whole genome shotgun sequence.
UGCACUGUGGCAUAGUUAGUUACAGCACCAGACUAGCGAUAAAGAGUCGUGGGUUCGAAUCCCACCAAAGCAA